UCUUGAAUGUUUACAAUUUAAUGGAUAUCUAGGUUUUACUGUUUGGUAAUCAUCGAGAUAUGACGUAAAUUUCAUUUUUUAAUUAAUUGGCUUUUCAUACCAUACGUUCGUGUACCUUUUGACCCAUAAAAAUGAAUUCCAAAAAAGUUCAUCUUAGUUGAUAAAAUAUUGUAUUUAUGGGUCAUUACUUUCGUAAUUUUAAUUAACUCAUAAGCGAGUUUGUUGGUGGUAAAAUGUCUACUUCAGAGACUGGUGUGGGAUGUAUUAGCGAGGUUACCCUUGCUAUUAGUAAAGCAAGGACUUCUCAAACAGGAUCCAUAAGGGUACUCGACAGUCCUGAUUCUGAUGGAUCUGGCCAUUCUAAUUCGUUUUCCAUACAACGAUUUAAUUAUCCUAACGAGAAUACUAAUUCUAAUAUUCUUCCACCUCCCUUAACAAACGAUGAUUUAAGAAUACCUAUUGUUGGUUAUGAAGUUAUGGAAGAGAGAGCUAGAUUUACAGUAUACAAACUUCGUAUUGAAUUGAAGAAUGGUGAUUGUUGGUUUGUCUUCAGAAGAUACACUGAUUUUGUACGUUUAUUUGCUCAAUUAAGAAGACAAAAGCUUCCCAUUUCUCAUUUGUCUUUGCCGCAAAAAAAAUGGCUCGGUGACAAUUUUGCACCUAGUUUUUUAGAAGAAAGGAUACGUGGUUUGCAAGCAUUUGUCAACGGGAUAUUAAGUAAUCCAAUUCUUAUAGGUAGCUCUUGCGUUAGACAAUUUUUUUGUCUUGAUGAACCACCUGCUUUGUCAGACACUGCAGAAGAAUCUAGGGCUAUUUUUGAAGCGAUGGAAGAUACAAUUUAUCAUUUAAGACAACAACUUAGAGAACGAGAUAAUGCUCUAGCAGCAGAAUCUGCGCUUUGCAAUGAAUUACAAAAGAAUUUACAUCAGAUGUUGAGCGAAAGACAGAUUUGUUCUAAAUGUGGCUCGACUCAAUAAAACAUUUGAUUGUGAGAUACAUUAGAUGAAUUUUAUUAUAUAUUUAUUUGAAUAUUUUUAGAAAAAGAGAUUUCUACGUAAAAGAUACUAUUCAGUUUAAGUAUGUUCCAGGGUUU
rnacentral:misc_RNA from 1 species